UGAAGAUCAUUUCUCAGCACUUCAUCCCACAUCCUCCUGUGUCUUCCUCUUCUAUAAGUUCCCUCCACAACUGUAGCUUCACACUUCUCUAUGC